GCUUAUGAAAAUCAAAGAGCAGAUUCUCAGGAUAUGGAGAAAAUAUGAUCUUGGUCAAAUUAACUCGACUGGAAUAACUACUGCUCUUCCAUUGCAACUAUGAUCAUAAUACCAAAGAUAACAUCCAACUCCAAGAUGAAAUCGAGGAGUUUAUCUAGUGGGGUCGACUAGAUCUUUUCAUCCCCAAUAUAAGGGGAGAGCAUAAGGACUCAUCGAGGGCACCUCGCCAACUAGAACAACCUCAACAG
rnacentral:lncRNA from 1 species